ensembl:lncRNA
UAUAGCUGGUUUAUGUGUAUAGCUGGUCUAUGUAUAGCUGGUCUAUGUAUAGCUGGUCUAUGUAUAGCUGGUCUAUGUAUAGCUGGUCUAGGUAUAGCUGGUUUAUGUAUAGCUGGUCUAUGUAUAGCUGGUUUAUGUAUAGCUGGUUUAUGUAUAGCUGGUCUAUGUAUAGCUGGUCUAUGUAUAGCUGGUCUAUGUAUAGCUGGUCUAGGUAUAGCGGGGUUAUGUAUAGCUGGUCUAUGUAUAGCUGGUCUAUGUAUAGCUGGUUUAUGUAUAGCUGGUCUAUGUAUAGCUGGUCUAGGUAUA